rnacentral:lncRNA from 1 species
UAGGAAGGCAUUCAGAAAUGUCAACAGAUGAGGUCAUCAGCUCACACGGAGCAACAAGCUCACGUUAAUCAGCUGUUUAAUUUUAAAUGUUCAAUGUGUUAACUUUUCCUGAUUGCUUAGUUUCCGACCGUGAUCAGAAAGCUAUAUGCUGGCUGUAGCAAUCUUUUCUCUUCUACUGUUUUAAGGCAAAGAACAACCUGUCUGCCGAGCAGCAGAAGAUGGUGGCCACCUUUGUGCCACAACACGGCCACAGCUGACUGCUUCUACGCCCUCAGCCUGAACGUGGCCCAGUCAAAGAGGAUGAGGGAUUUCCGCCAGGCCCUCACCCCCACUGUACCAUCACCAGAGUCACCAGAAGCCUCCACCACCAGGAAGAGGUCCCACAAUCCUGAUUCCUCCUCCAGUUCCGAGGACGAAACCCCUGUCCCCUACCAGGAGUCAGGGAUCUCGGGACUGGAGGAGGAGAGGGAGUUUAUAGCGAGGCUACAAAAUACACCAGAGAAGGCCCUCAGGACGAGCCAGUACGGCAGGCUGGUGGCGCUGACUGCGCUCGAGGCUCAACUCAACCUGUCUAAAAAGAUUUCGGAGAGGGCGAGAAGGGCAGCGUAUCGAGCAGUCAUCGGACUCUAACAUCUCUUGAUCUGUGCAGGACUUCAGUGUGAGCGGACUAUUUAGAGACGAUGUGACCGGCAGGUAAUGUUAACGGCUAUCUGCUACUGUAGCAGAGCUGCAAGUAAACGCUGAACUGAGCUGUGUGUUUUCAGUGUUAAACAUUGCUGCAGGUUUUCAUGCAUGACUGUUAUUGGUGAUUUACAGAGGUGGAAGACUUACUCAGAUCAUGUAUUGCAGUAAAAGUAGAAAAAAACUGUGUAGAGUUACAAGUUACUUGUCAGUUACAAGUCCUGCAUUCAACAUCUCCCUUAAGUUAAAGUACAAAAGUAUUAUCAAAAUAUACUUAAAGUACCAAAAGUAAAAUUAUGCAGUGUAAUAUAUCUUAUUUAAUUCGAUUAUAUUAUUAUUCAGUAAAUUGUAUUAAAUGACUGAUAAUUUAAAUAAAAUGUUUUAUUUAAUUCAAGUAGCCUACUUGUACAUCAUUAUUUUCUAGGGUUGAAAAAUGUAUACAGAUUUUACAUUUUCCCCUCAUACUUCUGUCGGAAUGGGUACGAAGUUGGCAUUGAAUUUAAUUUGAAAUGGUAUUAAAAAGGUCUUAAAAAGCCUUGAAUUUAAGUUGAAGGAUCCUGGGGGUACACACACACACACACACACACACACACACACACACGUAAAUAGUUGUUUUAUUGUGUUUUAUAGAUUGGUU